rnacentral:rRNA from 1 species
AGGAACAUGUGGUUUAAUUCGAUGAUACGCGAGGAACCUUACCCGGGCUCGAACGGUGCAGGAAUAUGGUAGAGAUAUCAUAGCUAGCAAUAGUCUGUAUCGAGGUGCUGCAUGGUUGUCGUCAGCUCGUGCCGUGAGGUGUCGGCUUAAGUGCCAUAACGAGCGCAACCCUUGUCGUUAGUUACCAUCAAGUAAAGUUGGGGACUCUAGCGAGACUGCACCGUAAGGUGUGAGAAGGGGGGGAUGACGUCAAAUCAGCACGGCCCUUACGUCCGGGGCGACACACGUGUUACAAUGGUAGGUACAGAGGGGCGCUAUCCAGUGAUGGAGUGCGAAUCUCAAAAACCUAUCUCAGUUCGGAUUGGAGUCUGCAACUCGACUCCAUGAAGUUGGAUUCGCUAGUAAUCGCGCAUCAGCCAUGGCGCGGUGAAUACGUUCCCGGGCCUU